CCACAAAGUCUGAAUCCAUGUAGACAUAAAGACAGUCUGCAACAUUAUUUUUUUUUUAAGCAGAUAACUAAGAGUUCUGACCUCUGCUCCCUGAGCUGAAGUCAUACUCAUAGAACCAGAAAUAGUUUCCCCAUCAAUUUGUACAGCUGCAUAUCCUGUAUAGUUCUUAGAGUUCUCAUGGUAUGAACUACUAUCUGUAAACCAAACCUCUUUUUCUUUAUUCUUAACAUUUCAUCUACCAGGGGUGCUUCUUCAACCAACUU